rnacentral:tRNA from 1 species
UGGGGUAAAGCUCAGUGGCAGAGCAUUUGCCUAGCAUGCUCAAGGUCCUGAGUUAGAACCUCAGUGCCACAA